UACAGAGGGGGCAAGCGUUAUUCGGAAUUAUUGGGCGUAAAGGGCGCGUAGGCGGCUUGGCAAGUGGAUGGUGAAAUCCCUCGGCUUAACCGAGGAACUGCCGUCCAAACUGCUUCGCUUGAGACCGGGAGAGGUGAGUGGAAUUCCCAGUGUAGCGGUGAAAUGCGUAGAUAUUGGGAGGAACACCAGUGGCGAAGGCGGCUCACUGGACCGGUACUGACGCUGAGACACGAAAGCGUGGGGAGCGAACAGG
rnacentral:rRNA from 1 species